AGAGUUUGAUCCUGGCUCAGGAUGAACGCUAGCUACAGGCUUAACACAUGCAAGUCGAGGGGCAGCAUCAUCAAAGCUUGCUUUGAUGGAUGGCGACCGGCGCACGGGUGAGUAACACGUAUCCAACCUGCCGACAACACUGGGAUAGCCUUUCGAAAGAAAGAUUAAUACCGGAUGGCAUAGUUUUCCCGCAUGGGAUAAUUAUUAAAGAAUUUCGGUUGUCGAUGGGGAUGCGUUCCAUUAGGCAGUUGGCGGGGUAACGGCCCACCAAACCAACGAUGGAUAGGGGUUCUGAGAGGAAGGUCCCCCACAUUGGAACUGAGACACGGUCCAAACUCCUACGGGAGGCAGCAGUGAGGAAUAUUGGUCAAUGGACGAGAGUCUGAACCAGCCAAGUAGCGUGAAGGAUGACUGCCCUAUGGGUUGUAAACUUCUUUUAUACGGGAAUAAAGUUAGCCACGUGUGGCUUUUUGUAUGUACCGUAUGAAUAAGGAUCGGCUAACUCCGUGCCAGCAGCCGCGGUAAUACGGAGGAUCCGAGCGUUAUCCGGAUUUAUUGGGUUUAAAGGGAGCGUAGGCGGGUUGUUAAGUCAGUUGUGAAAGUUUGCGGCUCAACCGUAAAAUUGCAGUUGAUACUGGCGACCUUGAGUGCAACAGAGGUAGGCGGAAUUCGUGGUGUAGCGGUGAAAUGCUUAGAUAUCACGAAGAACUCCGAUUGCGAAGGCAGCUUACUGGAUUGUAACUGACGCUGAUGCUCGAAAGUGUGGGUAUCAAACAGGAUUAGAUACCCUGGUAGUCCACACAGUAAACGAUGAAUACUCGCUGUUGGCGAUAUACUGUCAGCGGCCAAGCGAAAGCAUUAAGUAUUCCACCUGGGGAGUACGCCGGCAACGGUGAAACUCAAAGGAAUUGACGGGGGCCCGCACAAGCGGAGGAACAUGUGGUUUAAUUCGAUGAUACGCGAGGAACCUUACCCGGGCUUAAAUUGCAACUGACGGAACUGGAAACGGUUCUUUCUUCGGACAGUUGUGAAGGUGCUGCAUGGUUGUCGUCAGCUCGUGCCGUGAGGUGUCGGCUUAAGUGCCAUAACGAGCGCAACCCUUAUCGAUAGUUACUAGCAGGUCAUGCUGAGGACUCUAUUGAGACUGCCGUCGUAAGAUGUGAGGAAGGUGGGGAUGACGUCAAAUCAGCACGGCCCUUACGUCCGGGGCUACACACGUGUUACAAUGGGGGGUACAGAAGGCAGCUACACGGCGACGUGGUGCUAAUCCCGAAAGCCUCUCUCAGUUCGGAUUGGAGUCUGCAACCCGACUCCAUGAAGCUGGAUUCGCUAGUAAUCGCGCAUCAGCCACGGCGCGGUGAAUACGUUCCCGGGCCUUGUACACACCGCCCGUCAAGCCAUGAAAGCCGGGGGUACCUGAAGUACGUAACCGCGAGGAGCGUCCUAGGGUAAAACUGGUGAUUGGGGCUAAGUCGUAACAAGGUAGCCGUACCGGAAGGUGCGGCUG
rnacentral:rRNA from 1 species